UACGUAGGGUGCAAGCGUUGUCCGGAAUUAUUGGGCGUAAAGAGCUCGUAGGCGGUCUGUCGCGUCGGCUGUGAAAACCCGGGGCUCAACCCCGAGCCUGCAGUCGAUACGGGCAGACUAGAGUGCGGUAGGGGAGACUGGAAUUCCUGGUGUAGCGGUGAAAUGCGCAGAUAUCAGGAGGAACACCGGUGGCGAAGGCGGGUCUCUGGGCCGUAACUGACGCUGAGGAGCGAAAGCGUGGGGAGCAAACAGG
rnacentral:rRNA from 1 species